UCUACCUGUUCGCUGAGCUCCAUGGAAUUUCUGUGCCAAGAGUUUUGCUUGCCCAUUAAGCAGUACCAGGAAGAUAAUUUUCCAGACUUCACCACCAUGCACAUUAGCUGCGGGUCGCCACCUCCGUCAGGUUAACUGGAGGAGUAGUCUUGCCGUGAAGUCACAAGAAGAUAGAGGCAUGCAUCUGGAGAGAGGACGAGUUAUCAACACAGACUCUGAUGAUGAACAACCUCAUGUAAAAGUACCAGGAGGAGUAGUCUUGCCGUGAAGUCACAAGAAGAUAGAGGCAUGCAUCUGGAGAGAGGACGAGGGGGGUAGAAUUUUCUUUCUCUGCACUCGCAUCUCCAGCGUGCCCGCGUUAGCGCACAUUCAGCGAGCCUCCAGUGAACCUCCAGCGAGCCUCCAGCGAGCCCGGGAUCGUUGGGGAUCGUUGGAGUCAAACUGGAGGUGCGCUUGUGCCUCUCCAGCGUAUCCGCGAUGACGCCUCUCCAGCGUAUCCGCGAUGACGCCUCUCCAGCGGGCCCGCGAUGAUGCGCCUCCAGCGGGCCCGCGUUGACACAGCUCCAGCGAGCCUCCAGUGACCCUCCAGCGAUCCCGGGGUCGCUGGAGUCAAACUGGAGGUGCGCUUGUGUCUCCAGCGGGCCCGCGUUGACGCCUUUCCAGCGGGCUUGCGUUGACGCGUCUGCAGCGUGCCCGCGUUGACGCGUCUGCAGCGUGCCCGCUUUAACAAGCCUGCGACAAAAGAAGUUCUCUCACUCAGAGGAGUCUCUGACUUUCUCUUUGUUUUCUUUUAGUUAUCAACACAGACUCUGAUGAUGAACAACCUCAUGUAAAAGUACCAGGAGGAGUAGUCUUGCCGUGAAGUCACAAGAAGAUAGAGGCAUGCAUCUGGAGAGAGGACGAG